UACGUAGGCAGCAAGCGUUGUUCGGAGUUACUGGGCGUAAAGCGCUUGUAGGCGGUCCACCAAGUUUGGGGUGACAGUUGCCGACUUAAUCGGCAAAGUGCCUCAAAGACUGGCGGACUUGAGGGCCACAGAGGGACAUGGAACUCCAGGUGUAGUGGUGAAAUGCGUAGAGAUCGGGAAGAACACCAGUGGCGAAGGCGGCCGGCUGGGGGCGCCCUGACGCUGAGGCGCGAGAGCGUGGGGAGCGAACCGG
rnacentral:rRNA from 1 species